AUAGCUCAAUUGGUAGAGCAACUGACUUGUAAUCAGUAGGUUACGGGUUCGAUUCCUGUUUUUGGC
rnacentral:tRNA from 1 species